rnacentral:lncRNA from 1 species
CUCUUUCACUCAAGGCGGGGGUGGGGAGAUGGAGGACAAGUGAAGAAGAAACUGGCUCCCCUCAGAUGCAAAAAGAGAAGGCAGGCACAGGAAAUAGAACACAACACUGACUUUAAUGGGGCAGCCCUGAGCCGUAACCUUCAAACCUUCCGCCUCAGUACCCCGUGCGCGAGGAGGGAGGGGCGACUGCUACGGGCACAUCGUCGAUGUCCUCCCUACUCCUGGCGAUCCCACGCCUCACCCCUUCCUCUCCAGCUGCUGCGGUCUCCGUCGCCGAGGUGGGUCCCAGGUAAGCUCCCAGGAGGGGCAGGGGAGCCCCUCAGCGGCCCGGGACAGAUUCCCCCAUGGCUGAGGGCAUGGGGAACUAGCCUGGAUGGAGACGCCGCCGUCCUCGGAGCUGGGCGGGGACCUGAUUCUGGGGGUGUGGACAGAGCCAAGGGACCGCCCCCCAAGGCCCAGCGCCGGGAGAUGCAAGGCCGGGCCCAAGGUGUUGGACACUGCUUUGGGGGACAGGCUAGGUCUCUGCACGUGGCUUCUGGGCUCUGGAAAGCGGUCCAUUCUCCUGACCCGGAUCUCCGGAGUGGUAGGAGGCGGCUCAGUCCCGGGCCUGCGCUCCUAGAGUUCCUGUCCCAUCUCCUCCCACGCUCACCCAUCCCAAGGAAGGAGGGCACUCGGGCCCCAGCAGGCUCGUGAGAGCAGCGGGCUCCGCCCUCCCAAUGGUCUAUCCAUCGGUGGGUGGGUCCGGCGCGGCGUCGGGGCUCUGGCGGGUACCCGGGCGUCCCCGCGCGGCCCGGGCCGCCGCUCACCGCUGCUUA